UCUCAAUACUAUUAAGUACUGCAGUACUUAAUGAUUUAAAUUAUAAAGAAAUCCAUUAAUUUACAAGGCAUAUUUCAACAUGUAGAUAAACUAUGGCCCUCUGGUGGGCCUUCCAGAAGAUUUGUUAUUGAAGACGCUGGGUUUAUUAAUGUUCUUCAGUCAACAGAAGACAGUAAAAUCAAGAUACAAUCUAAAAUGGACACUUUGUUUACAGACUAGAUUUCUUCCAAAUUAUUUUCUUGUGAUGUGUAUGUAUUUCUUAUUUGUAACUGUGUUUUCAUAACUGGCGGUAAUAAAACUGUGUAAAACAUG